AAUCAAUUGAAGGGUUUGAUUCUGGCUCAGAGUGAACGUUGGCGGCGUGGAUUAGGCAUGCAAGUCGAGCGAGAACCGUAGCAAUACGGGGACAGCGGCGAAAGGGACAGUAAUGUGUAGGUACCUACCCCGAGGUCUG
rnacentral:rRNA from 1 species